rnacentral:rRNA from 1 species
UACAGAGGGUGCAAGCGUUAAUCGGAAUUACUGGGCGUAAAGCGCACGUAGGCGGCGAUUCAAGUCAGAGGUGAAAGCCCGGGGCUCAACCCCGGAACUGCCUUUGAAACUAGAUUGCUAGAAUCCUGGAGAGGUGAGUGGAAUUCCGAGUGUAGAGGUGAAAUUCGUAGAUAUUCGGAAGAACACCAGUGGCGAAGGCGACUCACUGGACAGGUAUUGACGCUGAGGUGCGAAAGCGUGGGGAGCAAACAGG